rnacentral:misc_RNA from 1 species
UCCGGCUUAUCACCGGCAGUCCCUCUAGAGUGCCCAACUAAAUGAUGGCAACUAAAGGCGAGGGUUGCGCUCGUUACGGGACUUAACCCAACAUCUCACAACACGAGCUGACGACAGCCAUGCAGCACCUGUCUCUGCGCUCCUUUCGGCACUCUCAGAUCUCUCCAAAAUUCGCAGGAUGUCAAGGGUAGGUAAGGUUCUUCGCGUUGCAUCGAAUUAAACCACAUGCUCCACCGCCUGUGCGGGCCCCCGUCAAUUCCUUUGAGUUUCAACCUUGCGGCCGUACUUCCCAGGCGGAGAACUUAUCGCGUUUGCUUCGAUACCGAUUGGUUCCCCAACCAACAUCUAGUUCUCAUCGUUUACAGCGUGGACUAC